GCAAGUCGAGCGAACAGACGAGGAGCUUGCUCCUCUGACGUUAGCGGCGGACGGGUGAGUAACACGUGGAUAACCUACCUAUAAGACUGGGAUAACUUCGGGAAACCGGAGCUAAUACCGGAUAAUAUAUUGAACCGCAUGGUUCAAUAGUGAAAGACGGUUUUGCUGUCACUUAUAGAUGGAUCCGCGCCGCAUUAGCUAGUUGGUAAGGUAACGGCUUACCAAGGCAACGAUGCGUAGCCGACCUGAGAGGGUGAUCGGCCACACUGGAACUGAGACACGGUCCAGACUCCUACGGGAGGCAGCAGUAGGGAAUCUUCCGCAAUGGGCGAAAGCCUGACGGAGCAACGCCGCGUGAGUGAUGAAGGUCUUCGGAUCGUAAAACUCUGUUAUUAGGGAAGAACAAAUGUGUAAGUAACUAUGCACGUCUUGACGGUACCUAAUCAGAAAGCCACGGCUAACUACGUGCCAGCAGCCGCGGUAAUACGUAGGUGGCAAGCGUUAUCCGGAAUUAUUGGGCGUAAAGCGCGCGUAGGCGGUUUUUUAAGUCUGAUGUGAAAGCCCACGGCUCAACCGUGGAGGGUCAUUGGAAACUGGAAAACUUGAGUGCAGAAGAGGAAAGUGGAAUUCCAUGUGUAGCGGUGAAAUGCGCAGAGAUAUGGAGGAACACCAGUGGCGAAGGCGACUUUCUGGUCUGUAACUGACGCUGAUGUGCGAAAGCGUGGGGAUCAAACAGGAUUA
rnacentral:rRNA from 1 species